AUGAUAAUGUUGUUAAUUCAAUGAGUAGACAGACUGCAGUGUAAUCAAACGAAGAUAGGAACAUUAACAAAGAUCUAAGGUUUAGUAUUACGGAAAGGCUAGAAUGAGGAGAUUGAGUGAGGAGGUUAUUUGAGGAGGUGAAAUCUCACCAUCAACAACAAAAAACAAAGCACAUUAGGGGGGGUGCAUUGGGGGGUCCACACCCCUUUUGAUGGUGAGAUGGGCCUCCUCAGAUAAACUCCUCAAAUAGCAUCCUCAUUAUAGAAGCUCCCUUAGUAUCAGGCCUGAUAGGCUCAGUGGACCAAAAGCCCAAAAGCUACAUUCAACCCACUAGAAGGCCUGAACCUCAGUGGGUCAAUAACAAAAGCAUACAGAGUCUACAAUAGUCUAGUCUAGUAAUACACGACAGUCGUCGAACUUAAGACGUGCUGAUAUUUAGUUGGGGUAUAUUUUUACUCACCACUUUAAUUCAAGGUGUACUAUCACCAUUAUUUUCAACGCUUGACACGUGUCUCUUGACAUAAUCAUAAUUAACUCUCUUUACUUUGUAUUUAUGCAACCAUGAUUAUAUCAAUAAACACGUGUCAAAUGUUGAGAAUGGCGGUGAGCGUACACCUUGGGUUAAAAUGAUGAUAAAAAAAUGCUCCCUAUUUAGUUGUAGCACAAAGCCAACAAG